GACGAACGCUGGCGGCGUGCUUAACACAUGCAAGUCGAACGGAAAGGCCCUGCUUUUGUGGGGUGCUCGAGUGGCGAACGGGUGAGUAACACGUGAGUAACCUGCCCUUGACUUUGGGAUAACUUCAGGAAACUGGGGCUAAUACCGGAUAGGAGUUCCUGCUGCAUGGUGGGGGUUGGACAGUUUCGGCGGUUGGGGAUGGACUCGCGGCUUAUCAGCUUGUUGGUGGGGUAGUGGCUUACCAAGGCUUUGACGGGUAGCCGGCCUGAGAGGGUGACCGGCCACAUUGGGACUGAGAGACGGCCCAGACUCCUACGGGAGGCAGCAGGGAGGAAUAUUGCACAAUGGGCGGAAGCCUGAUGCAGCAACGCCGCGUGCGGGAAGACGGCCGUCGGGUUGGAAACCGCUUUCGCCUGUGACGAAGCGUGAGUGACGGUAAUGGGUAAAGAAGCACCGGCUAACUACGUG
rnacentral:rRNA from 1 species